GAGAGCCGUAUAAUUACGAAAGUAUCCCGUACGGUUCGGUGACGAGCCGUGUCAACCCUGCAAAGGGAAUGCGUCUUAGUUCAAU
rfam:Fission yeast cob gene for cytochrome b